AGCUCAGGCAACAGCCAGCUCGAUGAUAGGUGUCUUUGCUCUACCUCCUGAGCCCCCAACGUCCUACUGCGCCGCUGCCGUCCGUCAAAAAGGACAUCCAAAUCAUGUUGUGAUUGGUAGGCUGGACACAAAAAGUGUGUGUGUGUGUGGGGGCGGGUGCAGGUGGUUUAACUUAUUUAAGAGUGGCGCAAGAGUUACAAUCAUGUGGGAGUCGGUAGAAAGUGGGGGAGAGAAAGAGACAAUGGAAGAAGCAUUGAUUCUCGAGAUUAUGGACUUCAAAGUCAAUAAUAGGUUACCUGAUGCCGGCCUAACAAAACAAUAGAGAUGCACGAUAUAAAGAAGAUAACACUUUGCUCAAGGCUUUUCUGACCAGAUGGAGAGCUUCAUUACGUUUGUAGAAGACGGAAGGAGAGCGAGCGUUUGGAUAAGGUAGUCACCUCAGCUGCCAAGGCCAACAUAAUAUUCGAAGAAAUGCUCUACAGUUCUAUCACUACGAUGUGGAGAAAAACGCACAAUGCGGUGAUCAGCCGAAACGACUGGCCUGGCAUGGAGGCGGACAUCCGCAAAUGGACUACAGAAAGGGAAGUCUGGGGCCCGCUGCUUGAGCUGCUCCCCCCGCGACCCAACCCCGGAUAUAUAUAUGAAGAUGAGAUGAGGAGAGAUGAUAAUUGACUUCAGGUGGCCCAGUGUCCUGAGUGCCAAAGAAAUCAGGCCAGUCUCAAAGAAAGUACCCAGUACUGUACCACCAGAGGUAACAACCAUUUGAGCUGGUGGGGAGGAACCUCAUGAGGCGCAGUUUAACAGAGUGGUAAUCAUUACAUUUGUGUGAUGGUUGAUUAUUUCACCAAGUGGGCAGCGGCCUACCCUCUGAAGAGUAAGUCUGCAGAGGAGGUGAGCAAUUGUAUUCUUGAUACAACUUUAAGAACCAGGUAGCUAGAGAACCUUCCGUAUAUCUUGGGGAUAAGGAACUGCAGCCUGCAAUUUUCAGCAUCAGGACCAAGAACUAGUUAACAAAAAAGUAUAGCCCAUCUUUUGUUGUUGUUUGGCAGGAAGGCAAAUACCCAUCUUAUGUGCCACAGAACCUAAGGUGACACUGAGAAGGUGGAGCGUUUGCUGAUGAGGGAGGCGGUUUUUAAAGGACUCUCAAAGCAGACAAACGUACAUAAAACUAAAAUACAGUCCUACAAGCGUCCAAAAGAAGCAGGAGAAAAUCCGUAAACUGAAGCUGGAGAUCGUGUGCUCAAAAAAGGUGGAGUAACGCAGUAAAAAGGGGUCUCGCUGGGGCCUUUCAAAAUAAUCGCACUUUGCCAUGCUGGCGGGGGCAAAUAUCGACCUCCUCACCCCCUUCAUUGAGCCAGAGGAGCGUCAAGAGAUAAUACCAGGGGAGAGUCAGCCCACCCAAAGUAAUGUUUUCCAACAAAUAUGGACUAGGGAAAAGGGGAGAUUCUGUGUUCCAAAAUCGGGCCAUGUAUCAAAUAUUCUCGGCAGAUUCCCAGAGCCAGGCCCCCGGGAAGGAAUUGGAGAGAGAGAGCUAGAUAUGAUGGAGUGGGACAUCCGAUGCUCAUCGGGGCGGUCUGCAAGGAUGGAAAUUGGACAUUGCCCUUUAAUUAUUGCAAUUGAUGAAUCUAUAAGGAAAAGAUCUCUCAACAUUUCUCGAUAAUGAGACUACAUCUAAGGAGUGGAGUUUGUUUAGAUCUCCCUUUCUCUUUCUCUCUCUCUUAUAUAUACAUUGACAUCCACCCCUCCAUGGGACCACAUAGACAUUAUUAUUUGGUCAAGGUUCAACUGUCAUGUCUAGCGUUUUGGAAAAGGCCUGUAGCUAUCCAACCUUUCACUAAGGUUUCUACUAAUUCUUAAAGAAAAUGUUACAGUUGUAGAUGAAUUGUCAACAAUCAACCACUAACAAAUUAAUCAGUUCAGAGUAACAAGCAACCUAUUGCUACUGCUUGCCCUAAGGGCAGCAGUUGACACAGCAGUCCGAAAGUAUACUCAACGUCUACACUGGCAGUCUGCACAGCACAUAACCCUCAUAGGAGUAUAGCCUUGUGCUAGCAGCUAGACACAGGCUGGUUGGGUAUUGUUGAACAUGUAGUCGCUUAAACCACGCUGUGCUAUAGAGCCUCUACUGGUGGGACAUAUAGUACAUUAAACAACACUGUCCUAGACACGGCCUUUACUGGGGGGCACGGUGGGUCAUGUGGUCCAGUAAACUACACUGUUGCUUCCUGCAUUAUAUCCUUUAUGAUUAUCUGUUUCUAUCGUAUUGUCUGACCACAGGCUUUAUAUUGGAGGGAAUAGUCAAACAGCGCAUGUGCUUGUGUCUAUAUAGUCAUAUAUUCUGUACUUAUUUCCUGCCUUUUUUUUGUUUACCUUUUCAGAUUUGACUGAACCACUUUGGCUAUAACGCGGGUUCAAUUAAAUUACGCUUGACUUAGUUUGUAUCAAAAGUUUUUUUUUAUUGCAUCAACACGUGUGGGUAUAUCUCAAUACAGAUUGGUUUUUCUGACUUGCAUUUCAAAUUUUCCUUAGUUUGAUAAAUAUUGCUGUUUUAAAUGUUUGUCUCACCUAAGCCGCAUGCCAACAUUGUAUUUAAUUUACUUUUUAUAUUUUCUUUUUACAUAUCUUUGAUUAGAUUCAUCUAUAUACUAUGUACAAGAUAAAAAUACCAUGACGCUAAUAAUAAAUUCCUUCUGUUUUUAUGGAUGUAUGAUAUAUUUAUGGUCACGUCAUAACUGAGUCCAAUGUGUUUAAAAUCCCUCCUCCUUACAUCGUCAUGCAAGGCUGUUUUUCAAUGGCACCUUUUUGUUAAGCGAACAUUUUUCAAUUAACGUUGAAUGCUGGUUUCAUGGGACCUUGUGGAGGCCAGCAGGCCAAAGGUGGAAAUACAUGCUCCAUUACUUCACUUCCAGUGUACAGAGAAUAUCAAAGACAUAGAAUAGCAUACAUUUUACGACAGUAAAGAACACGGAGUACAUUCCAUACAAAAACAGAGUGGGACUAAAACUAAAUAUUGUGUCAAGUUGAACCAAGAGACACGAUCAAUACUACAUGAUGAAACAUAAGAUGAAACGCUGCUGAUGGCGUGACCUUAUAUUUGCAUAUAUUCAUGAAAUAUCUCCUACCACAUUCUCAUUUGAGUCAAAGCUGGUAGAACCGGAGAAUGGCUCUUCAAAUUCCACAAUAAGUCAAAACAUGGAUUCAAUUAGAGCCUGUCCUUUCAAAUUGUGCUGUCAUAGAAUAAACAAACUACAAAGACAAUUCCUUGUGUUUUUAGAAUAAUUCAAAACUUCAGGAAGAGAAUGAAGUGGGUGUUCCAGUGUUUUUCAUGUUUACGUGAACACUCGUACAGGUUCUCGCUCUCUCUUGCUCUCAUGUCUUUUCCAAACACAAGCAUGUUAGGGCUCAUGUUAGGGAUCAUGUUAGGGAUUAUGUUAGGGCUCAUGUUAGGGUGCAUGUUCGGGUACAUGUAGGGUGCAUGUUUGGGUACAUGUAGGGUGUGUGAGGAUGCUCAGCAGGGUGCUGCUAUAAAGCAGCAUGUGAGGUGUGUUCAGUGAGUUAAACCCUGAGUUAAAUCAAGUUUAAAUCAGUACGUAUUUCUUGGGUUAAACAAUACAGUAUAUAGUAGGCUGAAUUUCCCACAGGCUUG